GAUGAACGCUGGCGGCGUGCCUAAUACAUGCAAGUCGAGCGAAUGGAUUAAGAGCUUGCUCUUAUGAAGUUAGCGGCGGACGGGUGAGUAACACGUGGGUAACCUGCCCAUAAGACUGGGAUAACUCCGGGAAACCGGGGCUAAUACCGGAUAACAUUUUGAACCGCAUGGUUCGAAAUUGAAAGGCGGCUUCGGCUGUCACUUAUGGAUGGACCCGCGUCGCAUUAGCUAGUUGGUGAUGUAACGGCUCACCAAGGCAACGAUGCGUAGCCGAACUGAGAGGGUGAGCGGCCACACUGGGACUGAAACACGGCCCAGACUCCUACGGGAGGCAGCAGUAGGGAAUCUUCCGCAAUGGACGAAAGUCUGACGGAGCAACGCCGCGUGAGUGAUGAAGGCUUUCGGGUCGUAAAACUCUGUUGUUAGGGAAGAACAAGUGCUAGUUGAAUAAGCUGGCACCUUGACGGUACCUAACCAGAAAGCCACGGCUAACUACGUGCCAGCCGCCGCAGUAA
rnacentral:rRNA from 1 species